rnacentral:lncRNA from 1 species
UUAGCAAUUAUGAGCUUGGAAAUUAUGGACCAGUUCCAAAAAUUAUGCUUAAAAAUAUGUUGUUUGAGCCCAACUUUUAUUCUUUCUCCGUGAACAAGACUAAAAAUACGACCUCAUUUACAAAUUAAUCCUACUUAAGUAAAAUAACUAUUAAGAUAAGACUAAUCAUUAAUAUGAUGGACUACGGGAUGAUAUCCCGGGAGAUCCAAUGGACAGAUGAUGAAAGGGACUACAGG